GAUGAACGCUGGCGGCGUGCCUAAUACAUGCAAGUCGAGCGAACGGACGAGAAGCUUGCUUCUCUGAUGUUAGCGGCGGACGGGUGAGUAACACGUGGAUAACCUACCUAUAAGACUGGGAUAACUUCGGGAAACCGGAGCUAAUACCGGAUAAUAUUUUGAACCGCAUGGUUCAAAAGUGAAAGACGGUCUUGCUGUCACUUAUAGAUGGAUCCGCGCUGCAUUAGCUAGUUGGUAAGGUAACGGCUUACCAAGGCAACGAUGCAUAGCCGACCUGAGAGGGUGAUCGGCCACACUGGAACUGAGACACGGUCCAGACUCCUACGGGAGGCAGCAGUAGGGAAUCUUCCGCAAUGGGCGAAAGCCUGACGGAGCAACGCCGCGUGGGUGAUGAAGGUCUUCGGAUCGUAAAACUCUGUUAUUAGGGAAGAACAUAUGUGUAAGUAACUGUGCACAUCUUGACGGUACCUAAUCAGAAAGCCACGGCUAACUACGUGCCAGCAGCCGCGGUAAUACGUAGGUGGCAAGCGUUAUCCGGAAUUAUUGGGCGUAAAGCGCGCGUAGCGGUUUUUUAAGUCUGAUGUGAAAGCCCACGGCUCAACCGUGGAGGGUCAUUGGAAACUGGAAAACUUGAGUGCAGGAGAGGAAAGUGGAAUUCCAUGUGUAGCGGUGAAAUGCGCAGAGAUAUGGAGGAACACCAGUGGCGAAGGCGACUUUCUGGUCUGUAACUGACGCUGAUGUGCGAAAGCGUGGGGAUCAAACAGGAUUAGAUACCCUGGUAGUCCACGCCGUAAACGAUGAGUGCUAAGUGUUAGGGGGUUUCCGCCCCUUAGUGCUGCAGCUAACGCAUUAAGCACUCCGCCUGGGGAGUACGACCGCAAGGUUGAAACUCAAAGGAAUUGACGGGGACCCGCACAAGCGGUGGAGCAUGUGGUUUAAUUCGAAGCAACGCGAAGAACCUUACCAAAUCUUGACAUCCUUUGACAACUCUAGAGAUAGAGCCUUCCCCUUCGGGGGACAAAGUGACAGGUGGUGCAUGGUUGUCGUCAGCUCGUGUCGUGAGAUGUUGGGUUAAGUCCCGCAACGAGCGCAACCCUUAAGCUUAGUUGCCAUCAUUAAGUUGGGCACUCUAAGUUGACUGCCGGUGACAAACCGGAGGAAGGUGGGGAUGACGUCAAAUCAUCAUGCCCCUUAUGAUUUGGGCUACACACGUGCUACAAUGGACAAUACAAAGGGCAGCGAAACCGCGAGGUCAAGCAAAUCCCAUAAAGUUGUUCUCAGUUCGGAUUGUAGUCUGCAACUCGACUACAUGAAGCUGGAAUCGCUAGUAAUCGUAGAUCAGCAUGCUACGGUGAAUACGUUCCCGGGUCU
rnacentral:rRNA from 1 species